ACCGAAAAGAGAGUUGUAGAUUCAACUUGCUGCGAUUUCUAAAUUUUUACAGAGCCUACUGAAUAAUGCAUUUACACGCUUACCUGAGAACUAAAAGAACAUAAUUUUUACUGUAAAGGAAUUUUUAAUUAUUUAAAGUAAAGUUCCAUUCUUGUACCUUGUGCAUCAUGGCUUUGCUAUAUACCUCUGGCCAAGACUAUCCCGAAAUCUCUGCGAGCUGCCCGAGAUUUGCGAAGAGCCCACCAAUAAAUGUUGAAAUAUUUAUGGAAAAAUCCCGGGCAGCGGCUACAUACCAACCGCGCGAGCGAUAGCUGGUUUUCUUCCAGCCCCACUUUAAUGGGAAAAGCAAACUGCUAUUCUAUAUAUUAAAAGACAAGUUUUAAUAUAUCUCCUAUUUUUAAUUAAGCUCAUUGGACACCCAUGCUUAGAACCAGCAACUUUCGUCUCAGUUAAUCUACAAAAUGAAGCGAUUAUUAUACCCGCAAGAAUGGACAUCAAAGAAGAAUUACCCCCUCAACCGAGCGGGAGUAAAAAAAUGCAAAGAUGAGUAUCCCAGUAAAUAGUUACUUUAUUUUAUCAACAUAUGUUAGCAAGGAACUCGGCAAACACAAGCUUCGACUGUUUAACAAAAACAUUGCCUUAUGGUAAUUUAUAUAAGGUAAACCCUGCCCAGUGAGUUCUUAAACGGCCGCGGUACCCUGACCGUGCAAAGGUAGCAUAAUCAUUUGCCCCUUAAUUGGGGGCUGGCAUGAAUGGGCCAACGAGGGCUUUCCUGUCUCGUUAACAUUAAUAGAAAUUAACCCCUAGGUGAAGAGGCCUAGAUAUAUAUGAAAGACAAGAAGACCCUGUCGAGCUCUGCGCCUAUGUCGAUCCCAGCCAUUUAAAAGAUAAAAAGAGAUUGUCCAAGCGCUUCGUUGGGGCGACGAGAGGGAAAAUAAUACACCUCUUUUUCCCAAGGCUGAUUUGCCAACAAAUGACCCAUAACCAUGAUCAAAAGACAAAGCUACCGCAGGGAUAACAGGCUAAUCCUCUCAGAAAGUUCCCAUCGACGAGAGGGGUUGGCACCUCGAUGUUGGCUUAGAGUCCCCCCGGUGGCGCAGCUGCCCCGAAGGUUGGUUUGUUCAACCAUUAAAACUCUACAUGAGCUGAGUUCAGACCGGCGCAAGCCAGGUUAGUUUCUAUCUUCAUAACCAACUAUUCUCCAGUAGUACGAAAGGACCCCGAGAGAACGGAUAUUCCGCAUUAUCCCGUAAUAAUAAUAGACACCAUAUA
rnacentral:rRNA from 1 species